rnacentral:miRNA from 1 species
AUGAGAAUGCUGACAGGGAGCU